rnacentral:rRNA from 1 species
AGUGAACGCUGGCGGUAGGCCUAACACAUGCAAGUCGAACGGCAGCACAGUAAGAGCUUGCUCUUACGGGUGGCGAGUGGCGGACGGGUGAGGAAUACAUCGGAAUCUACUUUUUCGUGGGGGAUAACGUAGGGAAACUUACGCUAAUACCGCAUACGACCUACGGGUGAAAGCAGGGGAUCUUCGGACCUUGCGCGAUUGAAUGAGCCGAUGUCGGAUUAGCUAGUUGGCGGGGUAAAGGCCCACCAAGGCGACGAUCCGUAGCUGGUCUGAGAGGAUGAUCAGCCACACUGGAGCUGAGUCACGGUCCAGACCCCUACGGGAGGCAGCCGUGGGGAGUGGUGGAAAAUGGGCGCAAGCCUGAUCCAGCCUUACCGCGUGAGUGAAGAACGCCUUCUGGUUGUCCCGCUCUUCUGCUGGGAAAGAAAAGCAGCGCGUCAAUACCCCGCUGUUCAGACGCUACCCAAAGAAUAAGCACCGCCCAACUUCGUG